AAUCAACGCUGGCGGCGUGCCUAACACAUGCAAGUCGAACGCGAAAGGGGGCUUCGGCUCCUAAGUAGAGUGGCGUCCGGGUGAGUAACACGUAGGUAAUCUGCCUUCGGGUGGGGAAUAACCAGUCGAAAGAUUGGCUAAUACCGCAUAAUGCAGCGGCACCUAAUGGUGAUUAGUUGUUAAAGCGGGGGAGUCGUAAGACCUCGCGCCUGAAGAGGAGCCUGCGGCAGAUUAGCUAGUUGGUGAGGUAAUGGCUCACCAAGGCUUCGAUCUGUAGCUGGUCUGAGAGGACGGCCAGCCACACUGGCACUGACACACGGGCCAGACUCC
rnacentral:rRNA from 1 species